rnacentral:rRNA from 1 species
UGGGGAAUUUUGGACAAUGGGGGAAACCCUGAUCCAGCCAUCCCGCGUGUGCGAUGAAGGCCUUCGGGUUGUAAAGCACUUUUGGCAGGAAAGAAACGUCAUGGGUUAAUACCCCGUGAAACUGACGGUACCUGCAGAAUAAGCACCGGCUAACUACGUGCCAGCAGCCGCGGUAAUACGUAGGGUGCAAGCGUUAAUCGGAAUUACUGGGCGUAAAGCGUGCGCAGGCGGUUCGGAAAGAAAGAUGUGAAAUCCCAGAGCUCAACUUUAGAACUGCAUUUUUAACUACCGGGCUAGAGUGUGUCAGAGGGAGGUGGAAUUCCGCGUGUAGCAGUGGAAUGCGUAGGUAUGCGGAGGAACACCGAUGGCGAAGGCAGCCUCCUGAGAUAACACUGACGCUCAUGCACGAAAGCGUAGGGAGCAAACAGG